AGACCAUAAGAUGAGUUGUUUGUUGGGACUUGUUGUGUACACGUUUGAAGUGUGUCUGUGUCCUUGUAGAGUCAGCUGUGAGUCUGCACUUGCUUCUGUGGUGUUUGCGUCCUUCUAGACUGGUUGGAGACCAUCAGAUUGUUGUUUGUUGUGACUUUGUUUCAAACCGGUGGAUUGUUUCGUUGUGACGGCCCCGGACUUGUCCCGGAGGGUGUUCUAGAGUCAGCUGUAAGUCAGCGCUUGCUUCUGUGGUGCUGUCUGUUUCUUCUGACCAGUUGGAGACCAUCAGAUUGUUGUUUGUUGUGACUUUGUUUCAAACCGGUGGAUUGUUUCGUUGUGACGGUCCCGGACUUGUCCUGGAGGGUGUUCUAGAGUCAGCUGUGAGUCUGCGCUUGCUUCUGUGGUGCUGUCUGUUUCUUCCGACCGGUUGGAUACCAUCAGAGAUGAUCUUUAUUGUGACUUAGUGUUUCAUCCUGAUGCAUUGUUUCCUUGUGGCGGCCCCGGACUUGUCUCGGUGGGUGUUCUAGAGUAAAAGUCUGAUGUGCAGUCUGUUUCCCACUGGUUGGAGACCAUCAGAUCGUUGUUUGUUGGGACUAGACGUUGCCUUGUGUUCUAGUGGGGUUGGUAGUAUACUGACCUGCUGUCUGUUUACCUCUAGACUGGUUGGAGACCAUCAGAUGAGUUGUUUGUUGGGACUAGUGUUCGAGUCGACUAGUAAACGUCCGAGGUGAGUCUGACUGGUUGGAGACCAUCAGAGAUGAUCUUUAUUGUGACUUUGUGUUUCAACCGAUGCAUUGUUUCUUUGUGGCGGUCCCGGACUUGUCCCGGUGCAGUCUGUUUCUCACUGGUUGGAGACCAUCAGCUACCUGUUCCAUCUUGAUCCACAGAAUGCGCAAUAUUCAUCUCACAGGACUGAAAACAAGUCCAUUCGAUUUAUCUCGGUCGAUAACCCCAGUUGCCAUCAUUCCAGUACAUUAUUCAUUGAUAGUAACAUCCGCCACUUUCCAGUUAUCGUAUCUCACAUCACCAAGUCGU
rnacentral:rRNA from 1 species